GGGGGCGAUCUGGAUUCGACUGGAUGGGCGAAGUUGAAGCAGCGUGCCGGGGUUGAUCGGUUGGCCCCGUUAAAAAGCCGAUCAAAAUAAUAACUGCCGAGCAUUCUUAUGCUCUCGCUGCCUAACUAAACGGGCAGUGCCUGUGGCCGGGACGCCGAUAUCGGGAACCACAGGACGCUUUCGGCUGGACGAUUACUAGACCCGCCCGAGCCGCGUGAUCGUCAAGAACAAAUCCGGGCUGGCUGGCAGCGGUUUGUCGAUGUACCGCCGGCGGCGAGAACCAAACACCGACUGCGCACGGAGCGGCUUCCUCUGAACUUAUCGCAGGACGCGGGUUCAAUUCCCGCCGCCUCCACCA
rnacentral:tmRNA from 1 species